GGCGGAGCGACAGAUAUGAGGAAGGAAAAAAGGUAAUGAUGAAGUGAUGAUCAGAUGAGAGCACAGGGAUUGUCAGGGUGAUUUCUCUUCACAUGGAGUCUGUUUAAUGACCUGUUUCUCCACAUGCUUUAAUAAUUCUCCACACUUCAUGUAAACUCCACAGAUGGGUUUCAAGUUAAUGUGGGUAGGUUUAUACAUUUCCAUCAUUUUCUGUCUUCUACAGUGUUUUCUCUUGAAUGUCAUUAUUUGUGCUGAUCAGCUUCAUGGACACGGAAUGAAACUCUUCUCAGAAUCAGCGUGUGGACUUUGGAGGCUGCAGGAGACAGAACUGAUUUAUUCCUGAUGUAUUAUGAACUCUGUGCUGUAAAUGUGAAAUCCCUUACAUCCUGAAUGAGUUCAGAACCAAAACAAAUAUACUGUAAAAAGAAUUAAAAGCUUUAUACAGGACAGCAAGCCUUUAAUUCUAUUGGCAGUGUGUUUGUUUGGUUCUGAAUUCAUUUAAGAUUUAAAACAUUUCACAUGUAACUCAUGAUAACUUUCACCAAAACAUCACACUUCUGCUUUUAAUUGAAUAAAAACUACUUGACAGUAAUAACAGUCCAGCUGUUCCCUGGAUACCAGGAGUUCCCUCACAUUGGUGGGCGUGUCCUAGAAGAAUGGAGCACGUGCAGUUGUGUAAUCCUCCAGUUUCGGUUGAAAACAGGAAGAACCAUCACAGACAAAACAGGAAGUGGUUCCACAAGUCACGUGUGUGAACAGAACAAACAGACAGACAGAGUGAAAUCCCAUCCUCUGUGAUGAUCAUCUGGUAAUACUUAGAAAGUUUGAGUAUGUCAUUGUGUCAUUACUUUACAGUAAAGUUUUGUGAGAAUAAAAAGCUCCUAGUGAUGUCAGACAGGAUGAUCAGACUCAGGACUUACUGAAGAACUCUAAAUGAUUCACACGCGUUAAAUGCAGUCAGAUGGAAUUCCUGUCUAAAAAUAUCUCGAGAUAAGAAUGAUGAUGGUGUGAGUCACUGCAGUUAUUCAGAAUCGCAUCUCCUGAUCUCUUUGACAGCAUGACAUUUAUAUGUAGGAGGAACAUUUUGUAAUCAGUAACCUGUGUGUGUAAGUUUAACAGUUAUUCCCUGAAAUCGAGUCGUACAUGAGCUGAUGGGUGAUGAGGCGCGUAGCACCGAGAUUAAGUGGAAUAACUGUUUUAUUCUAUCCACAUUCACUGGAUUUUGAGAAACAGAGCAUUUUUAUUUUUUUGAAAAUUUGAUAAAUAAAAACUAUAUACAAAAUGUCGGACAAAAUCAUUUCCACCUAGAAUGUAAACAAAUCGGUGAAAUGACAAGAGCAAUUUGUGAAAAAUGCGACAAUGAUAAUUCUUGAAAAAUAAAAAAAGAUGUGCUUACCAUCAAAUACUUAUUCCAAAUAUUCCAUAUUUUGUUGCUGUUUUGUAUUGUUUGUGGUUUUGUUUUCAAGUAGAGUUUUUAUUUCGUCCUUGGUUGGUUCAGUAACACGCUCCACCAUUUUGUUUUUCUCUACUCACGGUAUAUAAGCCGAUAUCCUAGUAGUAGAGUAGCCAAUCAGAGCAUGCGAUUGCUCAUAUCCAGUGAAUGUGGACAGAAAUAUAUGAUUUAUUGUGUCAUUGUCCUGAUUUAUUGAUGUAAUAUAGGUGAAGUAAAUAUAUAUAUUUCAUCAUCAGAUUUAAAUCUUUAUCUUUUAGGACAUUCUCAAAAUUACUGCUGCAUCAUUUUUUUCUCUGUCUCGUAUAUUGUCCCGUGUUCUCUCGGUGUUGUUGAUUUACUCUCUUUUUAUUUGUAUUAUUGUUUUUUUUAGGUUUUUAUUUUAUUGUAUUCGCUCAUGCUGCUAUGGCAGGAGUCUGAGCCAAAGAAUUUCACUCCUUAUACUUUUAUAAUGGACGGAACAACAGUAAACUGAACUUCACACAGUGUGCUGAUCAUCAACAGAGUCGUCUUUCAAUUUUGAGGCAAUUUAUUAUUUUUAACCCACAUUCUGUAACGUUCCUCCCUUUUUCUCUUUCUCCUCCUAUCAGUGUUGUACACAAAACCCAUUCUCAGAUUAUAAUAAUGCGGAUUUGCUUGUGUUUCGUAUGUGUGAGUGGAGUGAUUGUUAGUGGUUUAAGUCAUUUUCUGAUGUUUAUCUUUUCACCUCGCUGUGACGUCAUCAGGAGUCUAAUUCCUGCGCUGAGUCUCCCAGACCAGUCUAGACAUAGUUCAGUCACUUCAAUAGUUCUUCAGUGACUCACGUCAUACCGCCGCUCCCUGCUUUUAUUACCUCACUGGGCCUGUUGUGCUCCUACACUGUAUGGGACACGCCCAAAAAAAACCAGAAACUGUUGUUCAGGUAACAGUGCAUGUGGGUUUUUCACCCUAAAGCUGUAUUUUUAUAAACAAACAUUGGAGAGUUUUUCAGUUUGACUUCAUAUGUAAAGGACAGACUUAAAUCAGUUGUGUCUCCUGCGGACUCUAAAGUCGCCACUGUGAAUGUGAGAGAAGACGUUUCCUGUGUCUGUGAGUCUCAUCUGGAGAAAUAACAACAGCUGUGGCAGCGGGGGCGUGGUCAAGCGCCGGUCUGUGACAGGAGGGCAGAGUCAGGGAAGGUAAGUGGCAGAAUCACUACACCUGACAUGAAUUAACCUGUUUGUGUGUGUCUUCCCAGUGACCGCGCCCUACUUAAGGAGGGAGAGCGAGCGCAGAGGGGCUGAUCUCUGAACUAGACGCUUCUUAUGUUGAUGUGUGUCUGUUCAUUUGGAAGUUGUUAGACUGAAAAGUGUGGCAAUAAAGCCCUUUUGGAAACCUGA